UGGGGAAUUUUGGACAAUGGGCGAAAGCCUGAUCCAGCCAUGCCGCGUGAGUGAAGAAGGCCUUCGGGUUGUAAAGCUCUUUAGUCGGAAAGAAAGAGUUGCAAUGAAUAAUUGUGAUUUAUGACGGUACCGACAGAAAAAGCACCGGCUAACUACGUGCCAGCAGCCGCGGUAAUACGUAGGGUGCGAGCGUUAAUCGGAAUUACUGGGCGUAAAGGGUGCGCAGGCGGUCUUGCAAGUCAGAUGUGAAAGCCCCGGGCUUAACCUGGGAAUUGCGUUUGAAACUACAAAACUAGAGUGCAGCAGAGGGGAGUGGAAUUCCAUGUGUAGCAGUGAAAUGCGUAGAGAUGUGGAAGAACACCGAUGGCGAAGGCAGCUCCCUGGGUUGACACUGACGCUCAUGCACGAAAGCGUGGGGAGCAAACA
rnacentral:rRNA from 1 species